rnacentral:misc_RNA from 1 species
GAUGAAGAACGUAGCGAAAUGCGAUAAGUAAUGUGAAUUGCAGAAUUCAGUGAAUCAUCGAAUCUUUGAACGCACAUUGCGCCCGCCAGUAUUCUGGCGGGCAUGCCUGUUCGAGCGUCAUUUCAACCCUCAGGCCCCCAGUGCCUGGUGUUGGGGAUCGGCCCAGCCUUCCUGUAAGGCCGCCGGCCCCGAAAUCUAGUGGCGGUCUCGCUGUAGUCCUCCUCUGCGUAAUAGCACAACCUCGCAGUUGGAACGCGGCGGUGGCCAUGCCGUUAAACACCCCACUUCUGAAAGUUGACCUCGGAUCAGGUAGGAAUACCCGCUGAACUUAAGCAUAUCAAUAAGCGGAGGA